AAGGGUGGAGUCGAGACCGGGGCCGGCUGAGUGAAAGGAACCGCGGCAGGGGCCAAGCCUCCUCAACUAUGACCUCAACCGGCCAGGAUUCCACCACAACCAGGCAGCGAAGAAGUAGGCAGAACCCCCAGUCGCCCCCUCAGGACUCCAGUGUCACUUCGAAGCGAAAUAUUAAAAAGGGAGCAGUUCCCCGCUCCAUCCCCAAUCUAGCGGAGGUAAAGAAGAAAGGCAAAAUGAAGAAGCUCGGCCAAGCAAUGGAAGAAGAUCUAAUCGUGGGACUGCAAGGGAUGGAUCUGAACAUUGAGGCUGAAGCACUGGCUGGCACUGGCUUGGUGUUGGAUGAGCAGCUAAAUGAAUUCCAUUGCCUCUGGGAUGACAGCUUCCCGGAAGGCCCUGAGCGGCUCCAUGCCAUCAAGGAGCAACUGAUCCAGGAGGGCCUCCUAGAUCGCUGCGUGUCCUUUCAGGCCCGGUUUGCUGAAAAGGAAGAGCUGAUGUUGGUUCACAGGUGAAGGCUUGGGAGCCUUGUAGGGAUGGGGAGGAGCCUGCCCUGGACAAACCAGGGCAAGCUAAACGCUUUGG
rnacentral:sRNA from 1 species